rnacentral:rRNA from 1 species
UGCGGUGAUGAUGGCUUGAAGGAUACACCUGUUUCCAUUCCGAACACAGAAGUUAAGCUUCAAAACGCCGGUU